GCUUGUUUACAUGUCAGUUAGGCACCACUGGAGGCCAAGGUCAAGUUGAAAGUUGCAGUCUAGCCAAAGCG
rnacentral:sRNA from 1 species